CUGAUAGUGUUAGGAAGGAGUUACUACUCAAGUGUGUAGCAGCUGUCAAUACAGUAGCCCAAGAAAAAGAGAAUUAUUACUGAAUUAUUAUUACUGAAGAUAUGAGGACUGUACUAACCAGACCCGGGGUCAAUUACAAUUGUAAUUGUAAUUGAAGGGUCAAUUACAAUUACAAUUACGUAAUUGUAAUUGUAAUUGAGCUUCAGCUUAUGUCUGGUACUAACACUUGAGGAUGACAUUGAUUUCCAACCUAACUUUAAAUCAAAUUUUAAAAGAACAUUACAAGAAGCGAAGAGUCAUGAUCCUGACUGGGACCUUGUUUAUGUUGGUCGUAAAGAGCUCAGUCCAAAUGUUGAGACUAUUAUUCCAGGAACAAAGGACCUUGUAAUACCUCGGUACUCAUAUUGGACGUUAGGUUAUAUAAUAUGAAAUAGAGGAGCUGAGAAACUGAUAGCUGGGAGACCUUUUGAUAAUAUACUACCAGUUGACGAGUACAUACCAAUAAUGUAUAAUGACCAUCCUGAGUAAGUAUAUAGUUCAUUUAAAAAAAUAGCAAAGCUUAAUUAUGUUGUCAUCUUCAUAAUUUGUCAUGCCAAUAGCUUUUUGAUCUAAAAUUAUUCCCAAUUUCCUCAUGCUAUGUAGAAAGUUUGAGGGGAUUCUGACUUAAUUUUUGCCAUUUUUAAUAGUUAGCAAAAUUUUGGAAUAAAGCAUGGACUAAAGCCCAUGGGUUUUUAUUGCUUUGAAAUCACCCCCAAUAUUUAUUACAUUUUCUGAUACAUAU